AUGUCUUUUGCAUCCGCGCUGCACUCAUCUGCUUCUCUUCUCUGUGGUCCAGGUUCCACCAUGUUGCCCCGCUUGAGAGACCGGGAGCUGCUCCGGAAGAGAAGGGCAGAAGCCGAGGAGAAGGAUUCGAUUCAGUGGGCUCUGGGGGAGCAUGAGAGAAGAAAACGGCAGAGGAGAGGUCAAGGUGCCAGGAGAGGAAAGGGCCGUGAGCGCGUCGUGGAACCUGCGCCGCAGCCAAACCCAAAGCCAAACCCUCAGCCCCCGGAGAAGGAGGAACCUGAGCCGGUGUCCUCCACGAUGAUGCAGCAAGCUGAGUCUUCCCAGAUGGAUAUGCAGGACCUGUUCGCUGGUGUGCAGCUGGCAGAUCUGGAAGGGAUACUGGCUUCUGGGAGCCAGAGUCCUCUGGGUGAAGAGGAUAUGCUGAAGCUGGCUGAUGAAAUACAAGAGGUAUUCAGUACUUCACUGGAAAAGAACGAAUCUGAUAAUGACAUGUACCCAUCAAGCCUAUUUUAAAGUUUUAUUUAACUAGACACAUAUUCUUGCAAUUUUUAUCGCUAAGAAAUACUGACAGGCCUUGUAGAGAGCCUUAAAGUUGCUCCUUCCUCAGGAACAAUAAAAAUCUGACUCUCUCUCUCUACUGUGCUUCC
rnacentral:lncRNA from 1 species